ACCGGGUACCCAUUUUCUGCUGGGUAAACAGAGGAAAUUUUGAACAAACUCACUUGCCUAAGGUGAGACCACAUGUAUCACAUUGUGGGGCAGGACUGAAGUCCUAGAAACUCUCAGGAGUCAGGCUUCCCAACACAGUCACCCAACCAGGUACCCAUCCAAGGACUCUCCGAGCUUGACGUUGCUAAGCUUCAACUGAUUCGUGACCUGAGCUCAGUGCACAGGACCACACACCACCACAACUAGGUUAUCAACUACAGUAGGUUUGCUUUAAAGUUAACUUAAGCAUUUAACUGCAUCCGAGGUUUCAGAUGACAAAUGUGUGUUGGAAACCAAGGCUUGUACUGGCAUUGAGGCAAGUAGUCCCCUCACCGAGUAGCUCUACAACUAGUGCUACAACUGUUGUAACUGGGGUAGUUGUAAGGUGAACACUGUAGUAGAGACCCAGUUCCACAAAGCGAUGUUAGUGGCAAGGCGAUCCUUGCACUCAUAUAUCAACACUGACUUAAAAUAGUUGUGACUCCGAUGUAGCUUCAGGUCCACACCCUGACUAACAAUGUUGCUUUAUAUUCAUGAACCCCUUAGCCACAUUACAUGACCUGUUACAGAAUGGCAGUUUUCUGUUAAUGCUCAGAUCAUGGUGCUCAGAUUUUAUGCCUAUGUCUUCAAGCCUGUUCCUUCUCUAGUCCUAUCUACAUGUGAUUGAUGCAGUCAUGUGUUGGUGAUGUGCCAUUCUGUAUAUUUUACCCAUCUGUGUUUUUAUUAUUGGUUUUAGCAUGUUUACAUGAUAACUGCAUAGUGGCUUGAUCAAUGUGAUGUCCCACAGGUUGGUUUACAUGAUAACUGCAUAGUGGCUUGAUCAAUGUGGUUUCCCAGCAGGUUGGUUUACAUGAUAACUGCAUAGUGGCUUGAUCAAUGUGAUGUCCCAGCAGGUUGGUUUACAUGAUAUCUGCAUAGUGGCUUGACCAAUGUGAUGCCCACAGGUUGGUUUUCACGAUAUCUGCAUAGUGGCUUGAUCAAUGUGAUGUCCCAGCAGGUUGGUUUACACGAUAUCUGCAUAGUGGCUUGACCAAUGUGAUGUCCCAGCAGGUUGGUUUACACGAUAUCUGCAUAGUGGCUUGACCAAUGUGAUGUCCCAGCAGGUUGGUUUACAUGAUAAAUGCAUAGUGGCUUGACCAAUGUGAUGCCCACAGGUUGGUUUACACGAUAUCUGCAUAGUGGCUUGACCAAUGUGAUGUCCCAGCAGGUUGGUUUACACGAUAUCUGCAUAGUGGCUUGACCAAUGUGAUGCCCACAGGUUGGUUUACACGAUAUCUGCAUAGUGGCUUGACCAAUGUGAUGUCCCAGCAGGUUGGUUUACAUGAUAACUGCAUAGUGGCUUGACCAAUGUGAUGUCCCAGCAGGUUGGUUUACACGAUAUCUGCAUAGUGGCUUGACCAAUGUGAUGCCCACAGGUUGGUUUACACGAUAUCUGCAUAGUGGCUUGACCAAUGUGAUGUCCCAGCAGGUUGGUUUACACGAUAUCUGCAUAGUGGCUUGAUCAAUGUGGUUUCCCAGCAGGCUGGUUUACAUGAUAAGGGCAUAGUGGCUUGAUCAAUGUGGUGUUCCAGCAGGCAUUGUAGUUAUGCAUACAUUCAUUCUGAAGGCAAGCUCAGUUCAUCUUUGUCUACACAUAUAAUGGUCCCAGUUGGAAUCGAUCUAGCAUGGAGGCUACCUUGCAAGCAGGUCUGGUCACCGAAAUAUGGUGAAUCUCGUGCUGUACCCAACUUCUGGUGUCGUCUCUAAAAGACAGCUGGACCAGGAACUGAUCCCACAUUAGGGCACAACUGUUGCCAAGAACAGCCCCAAAUAUGAAUCAAUAUUCUUGUUAUCCAGCAAGUGCAACACACUUGCAUUGCAUACAACUUAGCAAGUUUACAAUUCACAGACUGGGGAAAACAACCUUGCAAGGUGACAGUGCCUGAACAUGUCGGCGCCCCAAAUAAAUCAGUUGAUAUUGGCCGAAAGUGGGCUGUAAUUCAGUGAUACUUAUCCUUGUAGCCUUGCUCCAAGGCUGUACCGAAUGCUGAGCCCAUGGAUGUACAGUAAUUUCAUCCUUUAAAGAGGCAAGUCUAGAGAAGCGGACAAUCUAAGGACCCCAGUCUGUUAUAUAUUUUUUUUAUAGAAAUUAAUGUUUAAGUCUAACUUCCUUGGUGCAGUUGUAAAUAUCCCUACAGUGGUGAUGGCUUGUAUUUUGAUGCUGUGGCCUCUUGACCUGUAAAGGCUAAUACGCAGAAGUGUGGGUGUACAUACAAGACUUUCUCAGCCUUCCACAUACCUGUGACACCCACUUCUUGGAUUAUAUGUGGACACAACCCUUCUCUGUGCAUUCCACUUUAACAAAGAUUGGACUGUUUGAUGGUGUAAGAUUCAGUAAUCAAAAUCUCUGCAGGCCAAGUAUGGAUGUGUCUGUAGUCCGAGGGAUUGCAAAAAACGUGAAGAAAACAUUCCUCUGCUAUGUAAAUGAUGGAAGUGUGAUUUGGGUUAAAACGGCAAAACAGCAUUUUCCUAAUACAGAAAGAUGCCUUGACAGUAUAAGUUUUCCUUACUUUCAAAUUCCGCUGCCAUAUAGCUGGAAUAUUGCAGAGUGCGGCGUAAAACUAAACUCACUCAUUCACUCACUUACUUUCAAAAUUUGUAGGCUUCCGCAACAUUUGACAUGUAAUUACUCUAACUUAUCGGUCAAAGCUAAAGGUGAUAUGGACUGUUGUGUUUUGCAUGUUACUGUAUUACCCUCCCUUCUGAAAAUGCCUUGAUUUGAUAUUGGCUAGGUUAGCAGGAUGGCGCCACCAUUAGAAUUACCGUUUAUUACCGUAGAUAAGCCGAAUUUUGUAGAAGGGGUCGGCUUAUCUAUGGGUUACACUUUUUGUCAAACCUUUUUUCAGGGGUAAGGGGGUAUCGCUCCCGUGAACAAACAAACAAGAGAAGACGACUUUGUCAAAUAAUAUCUGAAAAGAAGUGGUUAUUUGUUUUUAUUUCCUAAAAGGUUAUGUGAUAAUUACUGCUUCAGCCAUGUGAUGUCCUUGAACAAAUUUCUCAAUCUAUAUCUUUUUAUGCUUCAGGAGAAAUGCUUUUCUAGUGACUAGAACAGGGUUUAUUUCCAUGGAGCACACUUUGUAGUAAAUAGUUCGGGACAUUAAGGGCAAAUGCCUGCAGCUUGAGUAAAUGAAUUUGUGUUCUAGAAUUCAUAUGUCAUUGUGCAGACAUCUCAGUUCUCCUUGCUCAAUUCUACAUUUCCAGUUACAAUGGGAUUUUUGCAUGACAACAAUUUAAAAUAGUCGAAUGUGUUUCUUACUCAUUUCGGGGCUGUGGGGUAGCUUAGUGGUUAAAGCGUUGGCUCGUCAUGCCGAAGACCCAGGUUCGAAUCCCCACAUGGGUACAUUGUGUGAAGCCCAUUUCUGGUGUCCCCUGCCAUGAUGUUGCUGGAAUAUUGCUAAAAGCGGCAUAAAACCAAACUCAGUCAGUCAGUCUUUCUCAUUUCUGUGUUCAUUUUUUUCCAGAUAUUUCAAGCAGUCCACUGUUUAUUAUGACAUCCUGUAAACCCAGUUACACAUGGUAUAGGUAUGUCAGUGUUGAAUAGCAUCAGGCUGGAGUUAAUGUUAGAUCCACCUGUAUUUAAGGGACCAAAACAAUUGUUGACAUUUUUCUGCAAUAAAGCCUUUAAGAGUAAGAA
rnacentral:lncRNA from 1 species